rnacentral:rRNA from 1 species
CUGCAGCCCAAGUGGUGAUCGAUAUUAUUGAGCCUAAAGCGUCCGUAGCCGGUUUGGUAAAUCUUCGGGUAAAUCGAGCAGCUUAACUGUUCGAAUUCCGGAGAGACUGCUAGACUUGGGACCGGGAGAGGUCAGAGGUACUCCAGGGGUAGGGGCUAAAUCCUGUAAUCCUUGGAGGACCACCAGUGGCGAAGGCGUCUGACUAGAACGGAUCCGACGGUAAGGGACGAAACCCUGGGGCGCAAACCGGAUUAGAGACCCGAGUAGUCC